GGAUGAACGCUAGCUACAGGCUUAACACAUGCAAGUCGAGGGGAAACGGGCGUCAGGCUUGCCUGACGCAGUCGUCGACCGGCGAAUGGGUGAGUAACGCGUAUCCAACCUGCCCGCAAGCGGGGAAUAGGCUUUCGAAAGAAAGAUUAAUACCCCAUGUACUCCUCAGCAGUCAUCUAAAGAGGAGCAAAGAUUUAUCGCUUGCGGAUGGGGAUGCGUCUGAUUAGGCAGUUGGCGGGUUAACAGCCCACCAAACCGACGAUCAGUAGGGGUUCUGAGAGGAAGGUCCCCCACAUUGGAACUGGGACACGGUCCAAACUCCUACGGGAGGCAGCAGUGAGGAAUAUUGGUCAAUGGGCGGAAGCCUGAACCAGCCAUGCCGCGUGCAGGAAGACGGCCUUAUGGGUUGUAAACUGCUUUUAUGUGAGGAUAAUAUUCAUCUUGCGAGGUGGAAUGAAGGUAUCACAUGAAUAAGGAUCGGCUAACUCCGUGCCAGCAGCCGCGGUAAUACGGAGGAUCCGAGCGUUAUCCGGAUUUAUUGGGUUUAAAGGGUGCGUAGGCUGACUAUUAAGUCAGCGGUGAAAAGCUUGGGCUUAACUCAGGUCUUGCCGUUGAUACUGAUAGACUAGAAUAUAUAUGGAGUAGGCGGAAUGAAUCAUGUAGAGGUGACAUUCAUAGAUAUGAUUCAGAACACCGAUCGCGAAGGCAGCUUACUAAGAUAUAAUUGACGCUGAUGCACGAAAGCGUGGGUAUCGAACAGGAUUAGAUACCCUGGUAGUCCACGCUGUAAACGAUGAUAACUCGUUGUCGGCGAUACACAGUCGGUGACCAAGCGAAAGCGAUAAGUUAUCCACCUGGGGAGUACGAUCGCAAGGUUGAAACUCAAAGGAAUUGACGGGGGCCCGCACAAGCGGAGGAGCAUGUGGUUUAAUUCGAUGAUACGCGAGGAACCUUACCUAGACUUGAACGUAUAUUGAAUACUAUAGAAAUAUAGUAGUUAGCAAUAAUGAUAUACGAGGUGCUGCAUGGUUGUCGUCAGCUCGUGCCGUGAGGUGUCAGGUUAAGUCCUAUAACGAGCGCAACCCUUACACUUAGUUGCCAGCAUGUUAUGGUGGGGACUCUAAGUGGACUGCCUGCGUAAGCAGUGAGGAAGGAGGGGAUGACGUCAAAUCAGCACGGCCCUUACGUCUAGGGCGACACACGUGCUACAAUGGUAGGUACAGAGGGCAGCUACAUAGUGAUAUGGUGCGAAUCUCUAAAGCCUAUCUCAGUUCGGAUAGGAGUCUGCAACCCGACUCCUUGAAGUUGGAUUCGCUAGUAAUCGCAGAUCAGCCAUGCUGCGGUGAAUACGUUCCCGGGCCUUGUACACACCGCCCGUCAAGUCACCUGAGUCUAUUGCACCCGAAGUCAGUGGCCCAACCGCAAGGAGGGAGCUGUCGAAGGUGUGGUCGGUGAGGGGGACU
rnacentral:rRNA from 1 species